rnacentral:tRNA from 1 species
AGCAGGGUAGAGCAGUCUGGUAGCUCGUGGGGCUCAUAAUCCCGAAGCCGUAGGUUCGAAUCCUACCCCUGCAA